rnacentral:rRNA from 1 species
CGGAGGAUCAUUAACGAGUUAGGGUCUCUCUGGCCCGACCUCCCAACCCUUUGUCUACUUGACCAUCGUUGCUUCGGCGAGCCCGUCCUCACGGACCGCCGGAGGGAUCUUUACUGGCCCUCUGGUCCGCGCUCGUCGGUAGCCCAACCUUUAAAAUCUUUAACUAAACGUGCCUUAAUCUAAGUACAAUUAUUAAAUAAAAGCAAAACUUUCAACAACGGAUCUCUUGGUUCUGGCAUCGAUGAAGAACGCAGCGAAAUGCGAUAAGUAAUGCGAAUUGCAGAAUUCCAGUGAGUCAUCGAAUCUUUGAACGCACAUUGCGCCCUUUGGUAUUCCGAAGGGCAUGCCUGUUCGAGCGUCAUUAUCACCCCUCAAGCCCUCGGCUUGGUGUUGGACGGUUUGGUGGAGGCCCCCUCGGGGGCUCCUGCCCCUCCCAAAGACAAUGACGGCGGCCUCGUUGGACCCCCGGUACACUGAGUUCUUCACGGGACACGUAUCGGACACAUGGGUUUACGGGACACGGUCUGCCUCCCCUCAGGGAGAAUCUUUCUAAGGUUGACCUCGGAUCAGGUAGGGAUACCCGCUGAACUUAAGCAUAUCAAUAAGCGGAGGAA